GACGAACGCUGGCGGCGUGCUUAACACAUGCAAGUCGAACGGAAAGGCCCUGCUUUUUUGGUGUGCUCGAGUGGCGAACGGGUGAGUAACACGUGAGUAACCUGCCCUUGACUUUGGUAUAACUUCAGGAAACUGGGGCUAAUCCCGGAUCGGAGCUCCUGCUGCAUGGUGGGGGUUGGAAAGUUUCGGCGGUUGGGGAUGGACUCGCGGCUUAUCAGCUUGUUGGUGGGGUAGUGGCUUACCAAGGCUUUGACGGGUAGCCGGCCUGAGAGGGUGACCGGCGACAAUGGGACUGAGAUACGGCCCAGACUGCUACGGGAGGCAGCAGUGGGGAAUAUUGCACAAUGGGCGGAAGCCUGAUGCAGCAACGCCGCGUGCGGGAUGACGGCCUUCGGGUUGUAAACCGCUUUCGCCUGUGACGAAGCGUGAGUGACGGUAAUGGGUGAAGAAGCACCGGCUAACUACGUG
rnacentral:rRNA from 1 species